rnacentral:misc_RNA from 1 species
UUCAUCCGUUUCAUUUCCGUCGCCCCACCCUUGUCCUUGCCACCAUCCUGCCGGGCCGGUUCCGCGGCUGGAGCAUCGAUCUCAUAGGCGACGGUGCCAGGCGGAUUCUUGUAGGGUCCGGGAUCGCUGUAAUCGUCGCGCGCCAUGCCUUCGCGGAUCUUCAUCACCGUGAACAUGCCGCCCAUUUCGAUCGGCCCGAAUUGUCCGGAGCCCGUCAUCAUCGGCAGCGUGUUGUCCGGCGCGGGCA